rnacentral:rRNA from 1 species
AUUGAACGCUGGCGGCAUGCUUUACACAUGCAAGUCGAACGGUAACAGGCCGCAAGGUGCUGACGAGUGGCGAACGGGUGAGUAAUGCAUCGGAACGUGCCCAGUCGUGGGGGAUAACGCAGCGAAAGCUGUGCUAAUACCGCAUACGAUCUAUGGAUGAAAGCGGGGGACCGUAAGGCCUCGUCCGAUUGAAUCGGCCGAUGUCAGAUUAGGUAGUUGGUGGGGUAAAGGCUCACCAAGCCAACGAUCUGUAGCUGGUCUGAGAGGACGACCAGCCACACUGGGACUGAGACACGGCCCAGACUCCUACGGGAGGCAGCAGUGGGGAAUUUUGGACAAUGGGCGCAAGCCUGAUCCAGCAAUGCCGCGUGCAGGAAGAAGGCCUUCGGGUUGUAAACUGCUUUUGUACGGAACGAAAAGGUUUGGGUUAAUACCCUGGGCCGAUGACGGUACCGUAAGAAAAAGCACCGGCUAACUACGUGCCAGCCGCCGCGGUAA